UAGGGAAUAUUAGUAAUGGGCGAAAGCCUGAACUAGCAACGCCGCGUGUGCGAAGAAGGCCUUCGGGUUGUAAAGCACUUUUAGAGAGGAUGAGGAAGGACGGUACUCUCAGAAUAAGUCUCGGCUAACUACGUGCCAGCAGCCGCGGUAACACGUAGGAGGCGAACGUUAUCCGGAUUUACUGGGCGUAAAGCGCGUGUAGGUGGUUUGGUAAGUAGGGCGUGAAAGCUCCCGGCUCAACUGGGAGAGGCCGUUCUAAACUGCCAAGCUAGAGGAUGGUAGAGGGAGGUGGAAUUCCGGGUGUAGCGGUGGAAUGCGCAGAUAUCCGGAGGAACACCAGUGGCGAAGGCGGCCUCCUGGGCCACUCCUGACACUCAGACGCGAAAGCUAGG
rnacentral:rRNA from 1 species